AUAACAUCCGGAAACGGGUGCUAAUACCGCAUAGUUUUCUUGAUCGCAUGAUUGAGAAGGAAAGACGGCCUUUGUGCUGUCGCUUAUGGGAUGGACCCGCGGCGUAUUAGUUAGUUGGUGAGGUAACGGCUCACCAAGACGAUGAUACGUAGCCGACCUGAGAGGGUGAUCGGCCACAUUGGGACUGAGACACGGCCCAAACUCCUACGGGAGGCAGCAGUAGGGAAUCUUCCGCAAUGGACGAAAGUCUGACGGAGCAACGCCGCGUGAGUGAAGAAAAGGUUUUCGGAUCGUAAAACUCUGUUGUCAGAGAAGAACAAGUUGGAGAGUAACUGCUCCAGCCUUGACGGUAUCUGACCAGAAAGCCACGGCUAACUACGUGCCAGCAGCCGC
rnacentral:rRNA from 1 species